GUAACGUUUCUGGGGUCUCAGAGUGCCUACAUACAAAAGUUUCAUGGUUUUCGGGCCGCCGGGGGACCGCGGGCCGGGCGGUGGGACGCGCCGGGCGCCCGCGGUCUCCCCCGAGGCAACAACACGUUUUGGGUUCUCGCGGACUGUAUACGGUCCCCGCCGCGGGCCCCGGGGGGCCGGCGGCGGGUUCGUUCAAGUCUGUUACGACAAUUUGGUAAUGAUCCCUCCGCUGGUUCACCAACGGAGA
rnacentral:misc_RNA from 1 species